AGUCCAGUAUAGGCCCAUAGUGAAAACACAGAUCCAAUAAAAGGCUUGAGUGAACUUUAAAGUUCUGUAGUUUUUCUUUCUUUUUAUUAUAGGAUUAAAGGCCUCAUUCUAGACUGAGUUUGGGAAUUGCGUGUAGCAAACCUGCCCACCCCCCUGUCUGAAAACUCGUUGAAUGCGUUCCGUUUGUCAAAGCGUGUUAGCGUGUACGCCUGCAGCAAAUUCAUUACCAGCCAACUACGAGGCUCACUUCGUAACCUGGUCAGGGAAACCGGAGGGAGAGGUCCACGCCAAAAGCGCGAACAAUGCUGCCUCAGUUCGUGCGUGCAACAAAAGAACCGAGGGAACUUGUUUGAAUUUCAGAGCACGUCCUCUGCUCACACAGAAGGAUGGACUUUACAUCCCCUCCUAGCCCCCACCACUCCUCCACCUCCUCCUACCCCCCAUCAUCAUCAUCAUCAUCACCACCCUCUCCCUCCUCAUCCCACCCCACCACCACCACCAACAGGGAGAGAAAAAAAAAACUUGCACACUCUGAGAGCUCAACUGUGCAUGCACUUUUGUAUUUGGUGCUUGAAGACGUUCUGGGAAAGUUGUGUCUCUCCUUCUCCCCAUCCCUGCCUGCUUCUUCUUCUUCUUCUUGUUCUUCUCGUCGCCAAUCAUGUGCUUGGGAUAUGCUCAUGCUUUGCACAGAGCAGCCGAAGCACGCCUAAAGCCGGCUGCUGAUUGUUAGCGGCAGUUUUAAACUGAUGCACCACCACCAAAUAACACGGCUGGGAUCUUUGUGGAGAACAUAUACCACAUCACGGUUCACACGGACGCAGCCGCGCUUCUCCUGCUUGGGACGCUUUCUGACCGGCUGCUGUGGUUUGACUCUCCGUUAGGAAUGAUGGGGAAGAGGAGCUGUGGAGAACUGCUGGCAGCAGGAAGCAGAGGUCAACACCAGAUCUCUGGGAUUUUGCUCUCCAAUGGACCCACAUGAGGUAAGAUGGGGACUUUGAAGAUCAUGACCCAGAAACAAAUGGCAUAACGACUGGACUCUCCAGGCUGAAGACGAGGAGGCUAUUGAGCUGAAUCUCAGAGGUGACUACCGCUCUCUCCUUUCAAACAUAACUGUCCUGCCCUCUUGUUAGAUGGGCCAUAUUUCACAAAUUCCCUGCUAUGGAUCAGCAGUCUGUGCAUCCUAUUUCUCAGAGAAUUCCAUAUAAAAGUGUCGGUAAGACAUUUUGAGUGACAUUGCUUCUGUCAAACGGCUGAUUGAAGGAGACAUAGACAGAAAUGCUGUGCUAAUGAAAUCGUCUGACCCACAUCCUUUAGUGCUAUCCAUUUCUCCAAAGACACAGAAAGGGCAUUUAUACAGGUAAACCAUGACUGGUCCCUGAAGUGAAGGAAAGGGUUUUUUUUUUUUUUCAGAAGGAAGAGGAGCAUCCAUUAUUCACUAUACUGGGGUUGCUAGACACUUAGGAGAUAAUGCAGUGCUUCAAGCAUACAAAACAUAGAGCCUCCUUGGUGCUGUGGAGGCCAUUGUUGUGUUUUGAACAUGUCUGUUUCCAUCCAUACUGACAGAUGAAAAAGAAUAUGUCUCCCUCAGGUUCAGAAGCACGGACAUAUAUGGAUAAAGCAAGAAGGAGAGGAUGGGAUGGUGGGGAGAUGUGUUUGUGUGUGUGUCAGUCAUAUUUCUGUGCAUGUAGGGUAUCUAUAUUUGUGGGUGUAUUUCUUGCCCCAAGUCUGUGUUUUUGGCAUCUGUAUACAGCAGAAUAUGUCCAAACCCACUCAGUAUUAGAUUAUAGAAUGUAAAUGAAGUAUUCUUACUCAUAGUGCGAGCACAUGUUUGCACCUGUAUGCAUUAAUGCAUGUGAAUGCAUCAAGUUCCCACUGCACUGAGUCUGUAUAAGUAGUCUCUUCCAGCUCAGAUAGGCUUCAGUCGAGUCUUAUACUCUGCAGAUCAGCAGCAUCAGUUGCGUCCUCAUGGUGAGAGGAAGCAUCUGACUGCAGUCCACUGGGAGUAGUUAGCAGAAGGAUAGCAAGGCAUACAGCUCCUCUUCCAAUGUUAUCAGACUUAGGGCAACACCAGACUCUUUCUGCCUUUGUUAGACAACCCAAGGGAGAUUUUAAUAUGAAAUACUUUUUAUGUGGAUGAGGGAAGACCACUCCCAAAAAUGUCAGUAUUUUUCUGCAUAGAUGCGCAUUGUGAUGGAGAGCAUGUGAACUACCAGGAUGCAUGUUUGCACAUCCACUAAGGUAAAAUCGUAGCAGAUUGACAUCAAAGAAUAACCAAAAAUUAGAUGAGCAACAUUUUCAAAUAUUCGUUUAAGUUACACAUGAAUGUGUUGAAAACAAUUGUACUUUGAUAUAUCCUACCUAUGUUUAGGAUAACAUUGUCAAUGAUAAGUUAUAUAAGCUCUAAAAGUAUUUACAGGUUUUUAAAUAUAUAUAUUAUUUAACUUGACACUAAAGAUCCUGAUUUGAAAGGAUGACUUGUGAAAGGAAUCCUGUAAUACUUCCAACCCUAUGACAUAAUUAAAUACUGUAUAAUAAUGCAGGUGUUAAGUUGUUGAGAUGUAAAGAAGAACUAGAGGUUAGAAAAAAGCAAUUCGACACCUUAUUAAAUGUUAAUUAAGACAUUUUUGUUGUCUCUUGUAUCUUGUUAUUUAAAGUACUUUUAUAUUUGGUCUUAUAUAACAUAACAAAAUUCAACACAUUUUGAUUUGAAUUUAAGUUACAUGUUAAAUCAUCUGCUGUGACAUUGGUGACACACACUCUUCACAUGCUUUACACCUGAGCAACAAGAGUUGCUGCAACCCCCCAAUACCAGGAUCUGAUCUUUAUGUGUCGCUAAUGAUCGUCACAUUCAUCUUUUGAUGUAACAGAUUAUCAAAUGAGAGCAAGAAGCAAAGCUCCGGACUCACGUGCGUACAAACACACGCACUGUUGGACAUCAUCCUUAUACAGGCAUGAAUCUGCAGUGUCAGCAGAGUAGAUGAGGAGGAUGCGGAGAGGGGCACAUGUAGUUUAGUCUAAGAUCAGCGUCACAGGCAGGCAGGCCAGGCAGUGCAGUGUGUGCCCUUGAGGUGCUGUGAGCAGGCAGAGGUUUGUGCUUGAGUUGUCUGAAUCCACCUCCCUUCAUCUCUUGGAAUUUGGCUGUCGAUGGCCCAGGGACCUCCUGCCAACCUCCAACUACUCUGUACUGUCAACCAAACAUCAGAGAAAAAUUGUGGAAGGAGGCCGCCUAACCAAAACACUACUUUUGUACAUUUUCAAUUCCUGGAAAAAAACUGAGAUUUGCUGAUUUUUAAGAACUUGCUAGGGAUGCAUUUAUUUCAAUAGGUUUCAAGUGUUUGACAAUAUAAAUCAAUCAAUACAUUUUUAUUUAUAAAAUGCCAACUCAUACAAAAUGUUCCGUCAAGACACUUUACAAAAAGAGCAGUUCUAGACCAUACGCUCUGUUAUAUUACUUACAAAGCCCCAACAUUGAUCCACCAUGAGAACAGCACUUGGCAACGUUUAGGAAAGUAACAGUGGCAACAAAAAUCUGCCAGGCAGAAACCUCAAACAAUAAAUUAACAAGUAAAUAGAUUUAGAAUAACCCUUUAGGAAACAGCUCUGUUAAAGACAUGGACAAAGAAGUUCCACUGUGGACACCAGUAUCAGAAAAUGCCUCAAAUAUUACCAUAAAAGCAGAUCAGGGAUCAGCCAGUACAUCAGCCUGAUCAUCGAUCCAAAUACUGUAAUGUAUUAACCCCAAAUAAAAGCAGCUUGUUUCACUAGAAUCUCUUCUUCACAGUUACAAAAGACAACACAUCAAGCAGCGCUUUACUGAAAUCAUUCAAUCUUGUGUCUUCUAUUGUAAACUACAGUUUUAGAGAAGCUGAGAGGUAAUUUCUGGCCAUGUAUCUCAUGUCAACAGAUAACAACAAACAUGUAGUGGUAGCAUAGAAUGAAACAUUGGUCAGAAAUUUGCUCACUUAAGCAAACAUCAGAAUUUCACCCCUGCUGGUAAACCAGAGCUUUCGCAAAAGUUAGCUAGGUUUGUUUUCAGAAACCUUGCCUGUUUUCUUUAGAUAUGUAUUUCUUUACCUUAAGAUGUUCCUGUAGUUCUAAACAGGGGCUCAAUAAUCAAAAAGGCCUUUAUCUCUCUGGUAUUUUAAAAACACUGAAUGAAGCAGCUCGAAGUUUAAGAGAAAAAUCAAGGUCUCACCAACACUCUAAUGCAGACACAAGUGAAAAAGAUGUGUCAAAAUGUCCUCUUGAUGGAAUUUUUUACUCCAGGAUUAUAUUGUUCUGUUCUCUCUCAGUUGUUUCCAAGUUCUCUGUCAUUCACUCUCUGAGGCAGACAAUACCAAAUGGAUAGCAAUCAUAUCAUUUCCAUGAUUGAUACUCUGUAUGUGACACAUUCUUGAAAUCAGGUAUAGGAAUCAGAGAUGGAAUGGCAAAAAAUAAUACAUAAACACCCCCAGUCAUGGGAUCCUAACAUGACGUGUUGCUUUGCCUUUGUUGUCUGAUGCAGACAAUGACACCACAGAUUGAAGAUUUAACUGAUCCAGUUAGGCACUCUUACUGUCUCAAAUGACCCCAGCUGUUCUGUACAACCUAUACAUUCAUAUCAGCCCUCAGAAUACCUCCCAUGCUUGUCAGCAGGCUUUAUAGUUUCGGGGAAAUGUAAUACCAUAAUGUCUUUCAGCAGGAAGGGAGUGUCAGGUAUGGCAGGAGUAAUGGAGGAAGGGCUAGAGGUGCAGGUAACCCAGGUUAGGCGGGGUGUAAAGGGGAUCCGAUAAGGCGUUCCCUAGACCCUACAGUCUCCCAGUCUCCUCUAUGAGAGAAUAAUAAGCAGCUGUAACCCUGAGACACUCCCAGGCCUGUGUCCUCAGCUACAAAAACCUUCAGCAGGCGUCUUAUCAGGUUCUACGGAUAUCACGUAAGACAAUACAUGUGAGAAGUGCAGGGUGAACAAUGGGAGGAAAGUGCAGCGUGAUAUGAGGGGGACCAAUGUCAGCGGCUAUUGUCGAGGCCUUUGUCACUGUCAAGUACACAGGGAACUCACAGCUCACAGAACUCCUUUCAUUCAGGCAACUAGCUUUGGGAUGUGAUGAAAGUCUACAACAAGGGCUGUCCCUCAUGCUUUGGCAAUGGUUAAGUGUACACACAGAGGUUACAUGUUUAAAAGUGUAACUAGCAGCUUGUUGUUUGACCUCCUUUUACUGGGAACAGUCAUCCAGAUGACAUCCAGUCAUCUUUUAAACUUUAGCCUGAGUUGCAUAUAUCAUAUAUCAAACUGUAUUGUGGGCUCAUGUUUGUUUUGUAUGGGUGGGAUAUGUAUGUAUAUAUGUGUUGUGUUGUGUGUUUGUAUGUAUGCUGGCUGCUGGAACACCUAAAUUUCCCUGCUGGGAUGAAUAAAGUAUAUCUUAUCUUAUCUUAUCUUAUCUUAUCUUAUCAUUACCAGUUGUUUUUCUUAAUUUGUUUUAGGUUUAUUUUGGGGCUUUUAUGCCUUUAUAUUGAGAUAGGACAGUAGAGUCUGAAAUAGGGGAGAGAGAGCGAGAAUGGGGAACGACAUGCAGAAAAGGAGCCACAGGUCAGUUUUGAACCCGGGCCGCCCAUCAGGAGAACCACAGACUCCGUACAUGGAGCGUGCAUACUAACCACUAGGCUAUUAACACCCCAAACCAUAGUUUCUUAGUAGAUGUUUUUUUUUCUUCUUUCAGUUUUGUUAUAAUGAGCAAUACAAGGUUAAAAAAAAUGAGAUUUCUGGAAUGGUCUUUGACAGGUUUAAUAAUUUGUAUUUUUCUGUUUUUAGGUACCAGAGUCCAAACAAGAGAAGAGCCAGAAACAAGACGGGAGCUUCAAGAUUUCUAUGAUUGAAACCUCUCUCUACGACACUUGGACCUGCACUGUGCAUCAUACUUUGUAUUUCUGUCAACUGAGAAAUAAUAUGACUUUGCACAAAUAAACUUAUAUAUUUAUUUUC